GAUGAACGCUAGCGGCAGGCUUAACACAUGCAAGUCGAGGGGUAUAGUUCUUCGGAACUAGAGACCGGCGCACGGGUGCGUAACGCGUAUGCAAUCUACCUUUCACAAAGGGAUAGCCCAGAGAAAUUUGGAUUAAUACCUUAUAGUAAUACGACUUGGCAUCAAGAUGUAUUUAAAGAUUUAUCGGUGAAAGAUGAGCAUGCGUCCAUUAGCUUGUUGGUAAGGUAACGGCUUACCAAGGCAACGAUGGGUAGGGGUCCUGAGAGGGAGAUCCCCCACACUGGUACUGAGACACGGACCAGACUCCUACGGGAGGCAGCAGUGAGGAAUAUUGGACAAUGGGCGCAAGCCUGAUCCAGCCAUGCCGCGUGCAGGAUGACGGUCCUAUGGGUUGUAAACUGCUUUUGACAGGAAGAAACCCUUUCACGUGUGAAGAUUGACGGUACUGUAAGAAUAA
rnacentral:rRNA from 1 species